CUACCACCAAUCGGAGCAGCACCUCAAUCCAACCUAAACCCAUAAGAGAUCGAAGCCAUGCAUCGACCCGGCCUCUCUCUUCCGCUAUCCUUCUCUCUGCCACCAUCGGAGACUCCAUCUCCGGCCACCAUCUCCCCACACCGUCUUCACCAAUCGACGCAGCAUCCAAAACCAACCCAAGCCCGAGCCUUAACGUCGAAAUACAUCGCCGGCAGCCUCUACCCGUGACCACCCAAGGCUGCGACGCUGCUGCCACUCAACCUCCAUCAAUUUCUAGCCGCCUUUUCAAUACACCGUAGCCUCCUGUGAGCUCAGGGAGCGCCGACCAUCAAGCCCCCGACAUCCCAUCGCCAGAAGACGUCGAACACACAUCGCCGGAAACCGAGCUCUGCAUGCCUUCGUUCUCUAAUCUCCAACGCGAAUCGUGCUAAACCACCUCCAUGGUUGGAAUCAGCGUCUCACGUUUUCCAAAAGUCCAAACACCCGACCUCCGAUUCCGACCAGAGCCGCCACACGCGCCGCCGGCGCCGGCGCGUGAGAAACCUUGAUGCCGCCGUGAACUCUGCCGGCGUAGUCCUCUUGUUCUGGAUGGGAAUUGAUAUGAGAGGGGAGCUUCUGGUCUUGGUAUCGAUUUCAGUUUUGGUGGGAUGGUGAAGACUACAGAAGGACUGCAAGAAGCGGUACGUUAUGGAGUUUGUGGUUUCGGCAGAACUAAAAAUGGAUGGAGACUUGAGGUUCUUGGAUUCCUGCAAUUUGGAGUAUCGGAGAAGAUGAGCUACAGGGGUAGCUUUGGUUGAAAUCGAAUAAGAGGUCCGAAUGGGUUGAUAGUGAUGGACUGCAGCAACUAGAAAUAGCCUCUGGCUGGGGAAAAGAAGAAUGGACUCGAGCGUGUGCACGUGAAGUUGGAAGAAGUAUCGAAAGUUCGAAACGCAGCUAA